AAUUUUGGGCAAUGGGCGCAAGCCUGACCCAGCAACGCCGCGUGAGGGAAGAAGGUCUUCGGAUUGUAAACCUCUGUCCUUAGGGAAGAAGAAAGUGACGGUACCUAAGGAGGAAGCUCCGGCUAACUACGUGCCAGCAGCCGCGGUAACACGUAGGGAGCGAGCGUUGUCCGGAAUUACUGGGCGUAAAGGGUGCGUAGGCGGCAUAGUAAGUCAGAUGUGAAAUCCCCGGGCUUAACUCGGGAGUUGCAUUUGAAACUGCUGUGCUUGAGUGCAGGAGAGGAAAGCGGAAUUCCUAGUGUAGCGGUGAAAUGCGUAGAUAUUAGGAGGAACACCAGUGGCGAAGGCGGCUUUCUGGACUGUAACUGACGCUGAGGCACGAAAGCGUGGGGAGCAAACAGG
rnacentral:rRNA from 1 species